rnacentral:lncRNA from 1 species
CACCAAGGACAGCCAAACAAAUAAUAAGGAGCGGUGCAAGUCACGAAUAUACUACAGCAGACACGCAAGUCAAGAUACAGGAGAUAGUACGAUAAAUAAUAUGAAGCAACAUAAGAGGUUCAAAAAUAGCAAGACAAUAAAGACACCCUCAAAGCACACACUAUAUCUAAAUUUUAAGAACAACAACUACUAGAAAUCCAAAUAA